UUUUGACAUUUCAGCACUUUUAUUUCUGACCCAGACUUGAUUUCUCAAAGCUCUAGCUUGAAAAGUAGUUUGAGUCCAGAUCUGCUUGCAGUUAUCAUACAUUUUGUCUUAAUAAAAAUUAAAAAAAAAAAUAAAAAAAAAACUGACUUCAUAAAUAUUGCUCUUCCACGCCAGUCCAGUUGCCUCAUGGGAUAGCGCAGUGUCCAGCAGCUGGUGUCUUGGUGGAAGCAGAAGAUCAUCCGGGUAUUUCUCGCCUACUGUUUUAUGAAUAGUGAGAAUUCGGACAUACUACUCCUUCAAGAUACUGCUUUUCGCCUGUCUAUGGUACAGUAGUAGGCAUAUUCAGACGCAGCCAAGGUGUGCAGUGGAUCCGGAGCCAAUCCCGGGAACCCUAGCGCAGGCGUUGAACUCUUACCAGCGUGUUUUUAAAAGGUUGGAGAAAACUGGAGAACCCAGAGGAAUCUCGCAUGGACACAGAGGGAACAUAUAAUAAAGCAACCCAAGCUCAGGAUUGAAUCUGGGACCCUGGAGCUGUGAGGCUACCCAUUUCACCACCAUGUCACCAACAGUUGUAGUAAAAAUAAAUAAAUAAAAACAACUGGUGUGUUUAUACCCACUGUAUCCAAUGUCAUGCUAACAACCUUCGGAAAAGGGUUUCUUGGAAAUGCUCUGAUGAAUAACCGUUAGCUUUCUAGGGGGUUGUUUUUGGAAUCUGUUAUAGGAUUCUUCCAGAGAGACAAACCAAAGAACUCUCCAUGGUACAAAUGUACAACAGCAGUUCUAUAGUCUGAAUCUUAAACUGGUUUUAAAAGGUACACAAUAUCUAUGUAACAGUUGGGAAUCCUGCACAAUUUGAUCAUUUCUCAGCCCUAACAUACCUUCUAAACCCAGUACUGACUUGAAUUUGAGCAAUGAAACCACCAAACUGU